AUAAUUAAAAUGCUUACUUGAGUGAUUAAAAGUAACAAGUUUGGAAGAGAUUCUUUAUUAUUUCCGCUAUUUUUUUCCAGUAAAUACAACGACAAGCGGAUCCACUACAAAAACAAGCUGAGCCGAGCCAGAGGGGUUUACCUGAGAGAGACGGGGUGGCGUGACGAAAAAAUAAAAGACCUGGACAAAGAGAUUUUUAUUCUGAGGAAACAGGAGGAAAAGACGGCACACAUGAUGAAGACGGUCACAUCUGAAAAUGAGAGUCUGCUUCAGAAGAACAGACAGCUUCUUUUACAGCUGCAUGACUUUGAAGAGGCACAGAAAAAUGCUUCGGAUGUGAUUUCCACCAUGCAGAUGAGGUACUUUUAGUUGUAAAUGUACACUACUGCUGUAAAAAUGUUUGGGAUCAGUUUGAUUUUUAAAACAGAAAUGAAUACUUUUACUCAAAAGAUUUCUAUUUCUAACAAAUGCUGUUCUUUUGAACUUUCUAUUCAUCAAAGAUCCCUAAAAAUAGUCUCUUAGCAGCAAAACAUGGUUUCUUUAGAAUUAGAAUGAUUUCUGAAGAUCAUGUGACACUGAAGACUGGAGUAAUGAUGCUGAAAAUUCAGCUUUGAUCACAGAAAUAAAUUACAUUUUAAAAUAAAUUCA
ensembl:lncRNA